CGCCUACGGGGGGCAGCAGUGAGGAAUAUUGGUCAAUGGGCGGGAGCCUGAACCAGCCAAGUCGCGUGAAGGAAGAAGGUACUUAGUAUUGUAAACUUCUUUUGUCGGGGAACAAAGGCGGAGACGCGUCUCCGGAUGAGUGUACCCGAAGAAAAAGCAUCGGCUAACUCCGUGCCAGCAGCCGCGGUAAUACGGAGGAUGCGAGCGUUAUCCGGAUUUAUUGGGUUUAAAGGGUGCGCAGGCGGAGGUGCAAGUCAGCUGUCAAAUUGCGGGGCUCAACCCCGGACUGCCGUUGAAACUGCAUC
rnacentral:rRNA from 1 species